UACGUAGGGUGCGAGCGUUAAUCGGAAUUACUGGGCGUAAAGCGUGCGUAGGCGGUUCGUUAAGUCAGCUGUGAAAGCCCCGGGCUCAACCUGGGAACUGCGGUUGAAACUGGCGAACUAGAAUCUGGCAGAGGGGGGUGGAAUUCCACGUGUAGCAGUGAAAUGCGUAGAGAUGUGGAGGAACACCGAUGGCGAAGGCAGCCCCCUGGGCUGAGAUUGACGCUCAGGCACGAAAGCGUGGGGAGCAAACGGG
rnacentral:rRNA from 1 species